rnacentral:siRNA from 1 species
UACGUGGAGGCAUCCCUUCACGGCCG